rnacentral:rRNA from 1 species
AUACGGAGGGUGCAAGCGUUAUCCGGAAUUAUUGGGUUUAAAGGGUCCGUAGGCGGCUAGAUAAGUCAGUGGUGAAAUUCUCUCGCUCAACGAGAGACCUGCCAUUGAUACUGUCUUGGCUAGAGUUACAGUGAGGUGAGUGGAAUGUGUAGUGUAGCGGUGAAAUGCAUAGAUAUUACACAGAACACCGAUUGCGAAGGCAGUUCACUAACUGUAUACUGACGCUGAUGGACGAAAGCGUGGGGAGCAAACAGGAUUAGAAACCCCAGUAGUCC